CCUACGGGUGGCUGCAGUGAGGAAUAUUGGUCAUUGGACGAGAGUCUGAACCAGCCAAGUAGCGUGAAGGAUGACUGCCCUAUGGGUUGUAAACUUCUUUUAUAUGGGAAUAAAAUGUUCCACGUGUGGGAUUUUGUAUGUACCAUAUGAAUAAGGAUUGGCUAACUCCGUGCCAGCAGCCGCGGUAAUACGGAGGAUCCGAGCGUUAUCCGGAUUUAUUGGGUUUAAAGGGAGCGUAGGUGGAUUGUUAAGUCAGUUGUGAAAGUUUGCGGCUCAACCGUAAAAUUGCAGUUGAAACUGGCAGUCUUGAGUACAGUAGAGGUGUGCGGAAUGCGUGGUGUAGCGUUGAAAUGCUUAGAUAUCACGAAGAACUCCGAUUGCGAAGGCAGUUCACUGGACUGCAACUGACACUGAGGCUCGAAAGUGUGGGUAUCAAACAGGAUUAGAUACCCGAGUAGUC
rnacentral:rRNA from 1 species